GACGAACGCUGGCGGCGUGCCUAAUACAUGCAAGUAGAACGCACAGUUUAUACCGUAGCUUGCUACACCAUAGACUGUGAGUUGCGAACGGGUGAGUAACGCGUAGGUAACCUGCCUGGUAGCGGGGGAUAACUAUUGGAAACGAUAGCUAAUACCGCAUAAUAUUAAUUAUUGCAUGAUAAUUAAUUGAAAGGUGCAAUUGCACCACUACCAGAUGGACCUGCGUUGUAUUAGCUAGUAGGUGAGGUAACGGCUCACCUAGGCGACGAUACAUAGCCGACCUGAGAGGGUGAUCGGCCACACUGGGACUGAGACACGGCCCAGACUCCUACGGGAGGCAGCAGUAGGGAAUCUUCGGCAAGGGACGAAAGUCUGACCGAGCAACGCCGCGGGAGUGAAGAAGGUUUUCGGAUCGUAAAGCUCUGUUGUAAGAGAAGAACGGGUGUGAGAGUGGAAAGUUCACACUGUGACGGUAUCUUACCAGAAAGGGACGGCUAACUACGUG
rnacentral:rRNA from 1 species